ACGGGAGGCAGCAGUGGGGAAUAUUGGACAAUGGGGGCAACCCUGAUCCAGCGACGCCGCGUGAGUGAAGAAGUAUUUCGGUAUGUAAAGCUCUAUCAGCAGGGAAGAUAAUGACGGUACCUGACUAAGAAGCCCCGGCUAACUACGUGCCAGCAGCCGCGGUACUACGUAGGGGGCAAGCGUUAUCCGGAUUUACUGGGUGUAAAGGGAGCGUAGACGGUAUGGCAAGUCUGAUGUGAAAACCCAAGGCUCAACCAUGGGACUGCAUUGGAAACUGUCAAACUAGAGUGCAGGAGGGGUAAGCGGAAUUCCUAGUGUAGCGGUGAAAUGCGUAGAUAUUAGGAGGAACACCGGUGGCGAAGGCGGCUUACUGGACUGUAACUGACGUUGAGGCUCGAAAGCGUGGGGAGCAAACAGGAUUAGAUACCCUGGUA
rnacentral:rRNA from 1 species